AGAAUGAGGGGGGAUCUCAUAGAAACAUUUCGAAUGUUGAAAAGCAUGGACAGAGUUGAUGUGGCAAAGUUGUUUCCCAUGAUGGGGGAGUCUAGUACGAGAGGGCAUGACUUAAGGAUUGAAGGGCGCCCAUUCAGAACAGAGAUGCGAAGAAAUUUUUUUUAGCCAGAGGGUGGUGAAUCUAUGGAAUUUGUUGCCACGGGGGUAGUGGAGGUCAAGUCAUUGGGUGUAUUUAAGGCAGAGAUUAAUAGGUAUCUGAGUAGCCAGGGCAUCAAAGGUUAUGGUGAGAAAGCGGGGGAGUGGGACUAAAUGGGAGAAUGGAUCAGCUCAUGAUAAAAUGGUGGAGCACACUCGAUGGGCUGAAGGGCCGACUUUGUCUUAUGGUCUUAUAUUUUAAGAUGGUGAAAAGCACAUCUAUUUCAGAUACAAUGGUACCAUAUACAGUAUUUAAUUGCAAUGCUCACCAUUGUAAAGUUUGUUGGAAGCUUAUCAAUGAUAAAAGUGAAAGUUUGAACUUGAAUUACUAUUCUUUGUGAAACAUUACAAUUAUGGAUUUUCUUAAAUUUUGUGCUUGUGUUGUAGUCCUGAAAUAUUUGCAGCUUUACUUACUCAUAGAAAAUGCAAGGGAGGAAAAUUCAAAAAGCUAUUUUUAAAAAAAAGUAAAUUCUAACAGCCUCAGUCCUAGUUCAUUUAAUGACUUUUAAAUAAGGUUUAUUUACAAAUUUAGCCAUGAGACAACAGUUCAUUUGUAGAUAAGCUGGAAAUCAGCACCACUAAGAAGAGGAAGUGAUUGAAAUUUUAUGUUGAACAUUGAGAAAACAUCAACAAUUGGGAGAAAAAUUUAGUAUUGCCAAUUGUGGUGAAAGGAUAAUGAAGUACAGACCAACUGAUGUGCUUUCUUGUCCACCAAUCCUGCACAUAAACCUACACAAUCCUUAUAUUUUAGUGAGUCCUAUCAAAAUAACUGUGGCAGUCAAGACAUAUUACUGUAGGUUAAUCUUUAAAGCCAUUCAUUGUUGAAUAAUUGCUACAUUGUAUGCUUUGGAUAGUUUAAGAUUAUUACCUAGAAUUUAGUUGCUAUCUGUAAAGGUCACUGCAGUUAGCCAUUAAAAGUUUAGUUUGUGGGCUUAGUACAACAAGAUUCAGUCAGAUAAUUUUUCUUUGGCUGGGAACCAUUGAUAAGGAGGGGUGAUGCUGGGUUUUGGGAGAAAUAUGUUGGGUUGCUUUAGGUGACAAAUAAGUGGUUGGGGGCAGAAGAGUUGGGAUGGUAAUUACAAGUGGGGCUUGGGGAAGAAUCUUGAGCUUUGGUUUCUGUGGGUAGUGUAAGAGAACCAGUUACCUGCUCAGGUAGGUUCCUUUUGUUCCCCCAAAAUAGGGAUAAACAGAUACAUUGAUAGCCUGCUUCUUCAUGGAUGUCGUGGAUGGCGUUUUCUGCUCAAGUGGCAGUGUAAAAUGGGGUCUUCAGAUGCAUGGACAUUGGAACAAAAGUUCUAAAUAGAAAAGCAAAAACAUCAUACUACUGUUACACACGAGGAAUUCUGCAGAUGCUGGAAAUUCAAGCAACACACAUCAAAUUUGCUGGUGAACGCAGCAGGCCAGGCAGCAUCUCUAGGAAGAGGAUUCUGCAGAGAGUGGUGCAGACAGCCGAGCGCAUUUGUAGUUGUGAACUUACCAUGAUUCAGAACAUUUGCAAAGACACGUGUGAAAAAAGGGCCCGAAGGAUCACUGGGGACCCGAGUCAUCCCAACCGCAAUCUAUUCCAGCUGCUACCAGCCGAGAAAUGGUACCACAGCAUAAAAGUCAGAAUCAAAAGGUUCUGGGACAGCUUCUUCCACCAGGCCAUCAGACUGAUUAACUCACACUGAUUUGAGUGUAUUUCUAUGUUACAUUGACUGUUCUAUUUAUUACAAAUUAUUAUAAAUUACUAUGAUUGCACAUUUAGAUGGAGAUGUAACAUAAAGAUUUUUACUCUUCAUGUAUGUGAAGGAUGUAAGAAAUAAAGUCAAUUCAAUUCAGCUAAUUCUGACAACAUUUUCUAAAUAAUAAUUUAAUAAUAGAUUCUAGUGUUUACGCUUGUACCAGUAGCAGCUUAACAAGUCUAUAAUUCCCUUUUCUC